rnacentral:misc_RNA from 1 species
GAUGAAGAACGCAGCGAAAUGCGAUAAGUAGUGUGAAUUGCAGAAUUCCGUGAAUCAUCGAAUCUUUGAACGCACAUUGCGCCUUCUGGUAUUCCGGAAGGCAUGCCUGUUCGAGAGUCAUUAACAACCGUUUCGAUCCCUUUCUUUCAGAAAUUACAAAGAGGAAAAGGGUUUGGUUAUGGUGGAGGAGGGAAAGGGAGCGUUUAGCCUGUAAAAAAAGAGGCUGUGUUCCGCCUCCCCCCCAAAAUUGUACAGGCGGUCGUGUGCGCCCACGCAUCGAGGUGUUGUAAAAGCUGCCACGGCACUUUUCACCUGUGCAGUGCGAGAUUGGCCAGCCGGUUUAAAAACCCCUCCAAACAAUCAAAGUUUGACCUCGGAUCAGGUAGGGAUACCCGCUGAACUUAAGCAUAUCAAUAAGCGGAGGA